rnacentral:rRNA from 1 species
GACGAACGCUGGCGGCGUGCUUAACACAUGCAAGUCGAACGGAAAGGCCCUGCUUUUGUGGGGUGCUCGAGUGGCGAACGGGUGAGUAACACGUGAGUAACCUGCCCUUGACUUUGGGAUAACUUCAGGAAACUGGGGCUAAUACCGGAUAGGAGCUCCUGCUGCAUGGUGGGGGUUGGAAAGUUUCGGCGGUUGGGGAUGGACUCGCGGCUUAUCAGCUUGUUGGUGGGGUAGUGGCUUACCAAGGCUUUGACGGGUAGCCGGCCUGAGAGGGUGACCGGCCACAUUGGGACUGAGAUACGGCCCAGACUCCUACGGGAGGCAGCAGUGGGGAAUAUUGCACAAUGGGCGGAAGCCUGAUGCAGCAACGCCGCGUGCGGGAUAACGGCCUUCAGGUUGUAAACCGUUUUCGCCUGUGACUAAGCGUGAGUGACGGUAAUGCGUAAAGAAACACCGGCUUACUAUCUGCCAGCAGCCACCCGUGUACGCUAGGUGCGCAGCCUUGUCCGGAUUUAUUGGGCGUAAAGGGCUCGUAGGGGGUUGAUCGCGUCGGAAGUGUAAUCUUGGGGCUUAACCCUGAGCGUGCUUUCGAUACGGGUUGACUUGAGGAAGGUAGGGGAGAAUGGAAUUCCUGGUGGAGCGGUGGAAUGCGCAGAUAUCAGGAGGAACACCAGUGGCGAAGGCGGUUCCCUGGGCCUUUCCUGACGCUGAGGAGCGAAAGCGUGGGGAGCGAACAGGCUUAGAUACCCUGGUAGUCCACGCUGUAAACGGUGGGUACUAGGUGUGGGGUCCAUUCCACGGGUUCCGUGCCGUAGCUAACGCUUUAAGUACCCCGCCUGGGGAGUACGGCCGCAAGGCUAAAACUCAAAGGAAUUGACGGGGCCCCGCACAAGCGGCGGAGCAUGCGGAUUAAUUCGAUGCAACGCGUAGAACCUUACCUGGGUUUGACAUGGAUCGGGAGUGCUCAGAGAUGGGUGUGCCUCUUUUGGGGUCGGUUCACAGGUGGUGCAUGGCUGUCGUCAGCUCGUGUCGUGAGAUGUUGGGUUAAGUCCCGCAACGAGCGCAACCCUUGUUCACUGUUGCCAGCACGUUAUGGUGGGGACUCAGUGGAGACCGCCGGGGUCAACUCGGAGGAAGGUGGGGAUGACGUCAAGUCAUCAUGCCCCUUAUGUCCAGGGCUUCACGCAUGCUACAAUGGCUGGUACAGAGAGUGGCGAGCCUGUGAGGGUGAGCGAAUCUCGGAAAGCCGGUCUCAGUUCGGAUUGGGGUCUGCAACUCGACCUCAUGAAGUCGGAGUCGCUAGUAAUCGCAGAUCAGCAACGCUGCGGUGAAUACGUUCCCGGGGCU